GGGUAAGUCCAAUGUUGGCAAAAAGGUUUCGGCCCUUUUUGAGGGAGAUAGAGAAUCCUCCCCUUACCUU
rnacentral:tRNA from 1 species